UGCUCUGAGAGGGAGAGUGACAUGUUGUUCAGGUUCUGAGGCUUAUCCACAGCCAUCCACUUGGAAACAUUGUUCAGGCAACACUGAAACACCCAUCAAAGCUAAAGGCCUUCAGUGACUUUGUGGCAACAUGGAAGCGAACCAUGGAACUACCUGAAACUUCAAGCAAGCAAGCAAAAAUAAGCGAUAUGAUGUCUAUGGGUGCAGAUAUGCAAUUUUUUUU